rnacentral:guide_RNA from 1 species
AACCACAAUCAGCGAAUAAAGGAUUACUAAAUGAUAACUAU